rnacentral:rRNA from 1 species
UACGAAGGGGGCUAGCGUUGCUCGGAAUCACUGGGCGUAAAGCGCACGUAGGCGGACUCUUAAGUCGGUGGUGAAAUCCUGGAGCUCAACUCCAGAACUGCCUUCGAUACUGAGAGUCUCGAGUCCGAGAGAGGUGAGUGGAACUGCGAGUGUAGAGGUGAAAUUUCGUAGAUAUUCGCAAGAACACCAGUGGCGAAGGCGGCUCACUGGCUCGGUACUGACGCUGAGGUGCGAAAGCGUGGGGAGCAAACAGG